rnacentral:rRNA from 1 species
UACGGAGGGUGCGAGCGUUGUCCGGAAUCACGUGGGACGUAAAGGGCUCGUAGGCGGUCUGUUGCGUCGGGAGUGAAAACUUACAGCUUAACUGUGAGCGUGCUUCCGAUACGGGCAGACUUGAGGUAUUCAGGGGAGAACGGAAUUCCUGGUGUAGCGGUGAAAUGCGCAGAUAUCAGGAGGAACACCGGUGGCGAAGGCGGGUCUCUGGGCCGUAACUGACGCUGAGGAGCGAAAGCAUGGGGGAGCGAACAGG